GACGAACGCUGGCGGCGUGCCUAAUACAUGCAAGUCGAGCGGAGAUGUUCUGGUGCUUGCACCUGAAAAACUUAGGGGCGAACGGGUGAGUAACAAGUAAAGAACCUGCCUUAUAGACUGGGACAACGAAUGGAAAGGAUAGCAAAUACCAGAUAACAGCAUUAACUGCAUGGUGGAUGUUAGAAAGUUGGUUUUGCUAACACUAUGAGAUGGCUUUGCGGUGCAUUAGCUAGGUGGUGGGGUAAAGGCCUACCAAGUCGACGAUGGAUAACCGACGUGAGAGGGUGAUCGGCCACCUUGGGACUGAGACACGGCCAAGACUCCUGCGGGAGGGCGCAGUCGGGAAUCUUACGCAGUGGGCGAAAGCCUGACGGAGCAACGCCGCGUGAGUGACGACGGCUUCCGGUUCGUAAAGCUCUGUUGUUAGGGAAGAAUGAUUGUGUAGUAACUAUACGCAGUAGAGACGGUACCUAAUCAGAAAGCCACGGCUAACUACGUG
rnacentral:rRNA from 1 species